UACGAAGGGGGCUAGCGUUGCUCGGAAUCACUGGGCGUAAAGCGCACGUAGGCGGCUUUUUAAGUCAGGGGUGAAAUCCUGGAGCUCAACUCCAGAACUGCCUUUGAUACUGAGAAGCUUGAGUCCGGGAGAGGUGAGUGGAACUGCGAGUGUAGAGGUGAAAUGCGUAGAUAUCAAGAGGAACACCUGCGGCGAAGGCGGGUUGCUGGGCCGACACUGACGCUGAGGCGCGAAAGCCAGGGGAGCGAACGGG
rnacentral:rRNA from 1 species